UGGGUCCCAUGUCCCUGGUUUUGCAUC
rnacentral:piRNA from 1 species